rnacentral:rRNA from 1 species
GAUCAUGGCUCAGGAUGAACGCUGGCGGCGUGCCUAACACAUGCAAGUCGAACGAGCGAGAGAUGAAACCUAGUGAUUCUCGAGCGAGUGGCGGACGGGUGAGUAACGCGUGGGUAACCUGCCUUACAGAGGGGGAUAACAGUUUGAAAAGACUGCUAAUACCGCAUAAGCACACAGUACCGCAUGGUACAGGGUGAAAAGAUUUAUCACUGUAAGAUGGACCCGCGUCUGAUUAGCCAGUUGGCAGGGUAACGGCCUACCAAAGCGACGAUCAGUAGCCGACCUGAGAGGGUGAUCGGCCACAUUGGGACUGGGACACGACCCAAACUCCUACGGGAGGCAGCAGUGGGGGAUAUUGCACAAUGGAGGAAACUCUGAUGCAAGCGACGCCGCGUGAGUGGAGAAGUAUUUCGGUAUGUAAAGCUCUAUCAGCAGGGAAGAUAAUGACAGUACCUGACCAAGAAGCCCCGGCUAACUACGUGCCAGCCGCCGC